AACAUACUCCCUUCGUCUGGAAAUACUUGUCAUGAGAAUGGAUGUAUCUAGAUGUAUUUUAGUUCUAGAUACAUUCAUUUUUAUUCAAUUUUGCAACAAGUAAUCUUGGACGGAGGGAGUAUGAA
rfam:Hordeum vulgare subsp. vulgare, WGS project CAJW01000000 data, contig: morex_contig_274739